UACGGGGGGGGCAAGCGUUGUUCGGAAUUACUGGGCGUAAAGGGCUCGUAGGUGGCCAACUAAGUCAGACGUGAAAUCCCCCGGCUUAACCUGGGAACUGCGUCUGAUACUGGAAGGCUCGAGUUUGGGAGAGGGAUGCAGAAUUCCAGGUGUAGCGGUGAAAUGCGUAGAUAUCUGGAGGAAUACCGGUGGCGAAGGCGGCAUCCUGGACCAACACUGACGCUGAGGCGCGAAAGCUAGGGGAGCAAACGGG
rnacentral:rRNA from 1 species